rnacentral:tRNA from 1 species
GCCCAGCUGACUCAGUUAGUAGAGCAUGUGACUCUUGAUCUCGGGGUCAUGAGUUCAAGCCCCAUGUUGAGUG